rnacentral:rRNA from 1 species
GUGCCAGCAGCCGCGGUAAGACGAACCGUGCGAACGUUGUUCGGAAUCACUGGGCUUAAAGGGUUCGUAGGUGGCUCGCUAAGUCAGACGUGAAAUCCCUCGGCUCAACCGGGGAACUGCGUCUGAGACUGGAGAGCUUGAGUAUGGGAGAGGGAUGUAGAAUUCCAGGUGUAGCGGUGAAAUGCGUAGAUAUCUGGAGGAACACCGGUGGCGAAGGCGGCGUUCUGGACUGCAACUGACACUGAGGAACGAAAGCCAGGGGAGCAAACGGGAUUAGAUACCCCUGUAGUCC